CCUACGGGUGGCAGCAGUGAGGAAUAUUGGUCAAUGGGCGGGAGCCUGAACCAGCCAAGCCGCGUGAGGGAAGAAGGUACAGCGUAUCGUAAACCUCUUUUGUCAGGGAACAAAGGCGGGGACUAGUCCCCGGAUGAGGGUACCUGAAGAAAAAGCAUCGGCUAACUCCGUGCCAGCAGCCGCGGUACUACGGGGGAUGCGAGCGUUAUCCGGAUUUAUUGGGUUUAUAGGGUGCGAGGGCGGCCGGUUAAGUCAGCGGUAAAAGCCCGGGGCUAAACCCCGGCGGGCCGUUGAGAAUGGCGGGCUAGAGUUGGAGAGAGGUACGCGGAAUGCGCGGUGUAGCGGUGAAAUGCUUAGAUAUCGCGCAGAACACCGAUUGCGAAGGCAGCGUACCGGCUCCACACUGACGCUGAGGCACGAAAGCGUGGGUAUCGAACAGGAUUAGAUACCCUUGUAGUC
rnacentral:rRNA from 1 species